rnacentral:rRNA from 1 species
GGGAACGUGAGCUGGGAGACCGUCGUGAGACAGGUUAGUUUUACCCUACUGUUGUUCGAUCCCGCCAUAGUAAUCCGACUCAGUACGAGAGGAACCGUCGGUUCGGAUAAUUGGUAUGCGCUCGCCUGCCCCGGCGAUGGCGCAAGGCUACCAUCCGUAGGACGACUGAACGCCUCUAAGUCGGAAGCCGUGCUAGGCGCGGGGUCCCACUCUCCCAAUGCCGCCUCACCCGACUCACCAUAGGCCGGGUAGUCCUUCCCGGUCCAAGAGCAUACCCGUUGGUUGCUGGGCCGGACCGAGUACACCUCCCUCCAGCCCACCCAAGCAUCGCACUUUCGCUCGCGCAUUGGGGUAAAUCCUUGGUAGACCACCCUGAUUCCCGUCGCGG